GACGAACGCUGGCGGCGUGCCUAAUACAUGCAAGUCGAACGCAGUGGGGACGGGUGAGUAACACGUGGGUAACCUCCCAUCAGAGGGGAUAACACUUGGAAACAGGUGCUAAACCGAUAUUGAUGGCUGGACCCGCGGUGCAUUAGCUAGUUGGGGAGGUAACGGCUCACCAAGGCAACGAUGCAUAGCGGACCUGAGGGGGGACUCGGCAACACUGGGACUGGAACACGGCCCAGACUCCUACGGGGGGCAUCAGGAGGAAUUCUUCGGCAAUGGACGAAAGUCUGACCGAGCAACGCCGGGUGAGUGAAGAGGGUUUUCGGAUCGUAAAACUCUGUUGUUAGAGAAGCGGUAUCUAACCAGAAAGCCACGGCUAACUACGUGCCAGCAGCCGCGGUAAUA
rnacentral:rRNA from 1 species